rnacentral:lncRNA from 1 species
GCGUACUUCCAUUUUCAACAUCCUUAUAAAACAUUUUAGUUCUCUAAGCUGGGUUUUACCAUACAACAAUACAGAGCAAAUACUUAUCAUGAAGACCCACCAGUUCCACUCCUACACCGAGGUUUAUACCCAGAAUCCUUAGUAUCAGAAUUCUUAUUCCAUUGUCAUUAAAAUAUCGAAAGUCUCUUCACCCUCAAGUUGAUUCAAUUAAGUGAAUUGAAAAUUAUCAACCUUCCAUGUCAAUCUAGGAAGCACCCACAUGCCGCAGAAGCUGGCAUGUAAAUGCCCAAUGUGCACUGGAAGAGAUAUGUCAGGUUCCCUCCUUCAACGUAAUUUGACUACAUACACUUGUAGAGAUUUCUCAAUUGCGAAAUGCAUCAAAGCCUUGGGUACUAAGAAACAACAAGAUGAGUUAUAAGUAGUCAACUAAUUCACAUCGAGAUCAUGAAUGCUAGAAUCCAUAUUAUGAAAUGAGAAAUGGCUUUUGCUAAUUCGUCGGCAAAUGGGAGGUGAAAUUGAAAUGGGAGAAACUAAAAAGAAACUGAAGAAUUAAAAUAUCCAAGGGAGAAACAUCACCUCCAAAUAGCUAAAGGAGAAAAGGGGGCUGGUUGGAAUAGGAAAUGUGUGCUCGUGCAUGAAAGUUGGCCAAAGAAUUCAAUUAUCCAACUAAACUACCUGCGAAAAAACUUCUUUCACAUUGUAUGGGUGCGGAUUUGCCAUUCACUUCACCUUCAAAAAAUUUCAUUGAAUUCAUCAACUACUACUAUCAUCCUUUUGAAUGAUUAUAAUCUAGACCUCUUCGGAAUACAUGCCAAAACAUAAGAUAAGACUCAAUGAAGGGCGGACACGAUUUUCAUAAUGCAACUAAGACUUUUUCAUAUGCAAGAGUUGUGGCACAUAUGUUAAAGUUACCCGGCUGUUGGGG